GCUCCUACCGAUUUCGAGUGAUCCGGUGAACCAUUUGGACCGCGGAGGUCUCGUAUCUCUGUGGAAAAUCUAGUAAACCAUAUCACUUAGAGGAAGGAGAAGUCGUAACAAGGUUUCCGUAGGUGAACCUGCGGAAGGAUCAUUA
rnacentral:rRNA from 1 species